rnacentral:rRNA from 1 species
CCUACGGGCGGCUGCAGUGGGGAAUAUUGGACAAUGGGCGAAAGCCUGAUCCAGCCAUGCCGCGUGUGUGAAGAAGGCCUUCGGGUUGAAAAGCACUUUCAGUGGGGAAGAAAGCCUUGGGGCUAAUACCCUCGAGGAAGGACAUCACCCACAGAAGAAGCACCGGCUAACUCCGUGCCAGCAGCCGCGGUAAUACGGAGGGUGCGAGCGUUAAUCGGAAUUACUGGGCGUAAAGCGCGCGUAGGCGGUCUGAUAAGCCGGUUGUGAAAGCCCCGGGCUCAACCUGGGAACGGCAUCCGGAACUGUCAGGCUAGAGUGCAGGAGAGGAAGGUAGAAUUCCCGGUGUAGCGGUGAAAUGCGUAGAGAUCGGGAGGAAUACCAGUGGCGAAGGCGGCCUUCUGGACUGACACUGACGCUGAGGUGCGAAAGCGUGGGUAGCAAACAGGAUUAGAUACCCCAGUAGUC